rnacentral:rRNA from 1 species
GAUGAACGCUGGCGGCGUGCCUAAUACAUGCAAGUCGAGCGAACAGACGAGGAGCUUGCUCCUCUGACGUUAGCGGCGGACGGGUGAGUAACACGUGGAUAACCUACCUAUAAGACUGGGAUAACUUCGGGAAACCGGAGCUAAUACCGGAUAAUAUAUUGAACCGCAUGGUUCAAUAGUGAAAGACGGUUUUGCUGUCACUUAUAGAUGGAUCCGCGCCGCAUUAGCUAGUUGGUAAGGUAACGGCUUACCAAGGCGACGAUGCGUAGCCGACCUGAGAGGGUGAUCGGCCACACUGGAACUGAGACACGGUCCAGACUCCUACGGGAGGCAGCAGUAGGGAAUCUUCCGCAAAGGGCGAAAGCAUGACGGAGCAACGCCGCGUGAGUGAUGAAGGUCUUCGGAUCGUAAAACUCUGUUAUUAGGGAAGAACAAAUGUGUAAGUAACUAUGCACGUCUUGACGGUACCUAAUCAGAAAGCCACGGCUAACUACGUG